rnacentral:lncRNA from 1 species
GCCCUCAGUAAAUAUUUUUUGAAUUAUUUCAUCCCAUGACUUGCUUGAGCUGUUGAGAAAAGGAGGACAUCUCUCCCGCUGUCCCAGGAACCCAGAGGAUUCAGGGGCUGGAGCUACCGUCUCGCCACCACGUGGAGAGCCUGAGACAGCCAACAGCGUGCAAGCUACAGAGAAAGGAGAGACGUUUGAUUACAUCGUGCCAGCCCUGAAUCUGGCCAUGCCUGAAGCUGGGGCUGCCCUUGGUCUUCUCAGUUGCAGGACCCACUACCUUGCAAGAACCCAGUGGCCAUGUGUGGCUAGCGGCUACUCUAUUGGACAGCACGGAUAAAGAGUAUUUCCAUCAACACAGAAAGUCCCGUUGGGCAGCACUGGCGUAGGGUAUGACCACGGGAGUUCGUGGCUCAGGUAAGAUGAUGGACAAGGUCAUUGGAGGGCAUUGGGAUAUCUACACAGGUAGUGAAAUCACCAAGAAUUGGGACAGGAGUAGUUUUGGAGAGAGUGACAGUGAGCCAGGAGCUAAAACCUGCAAGAUUUUGGGGAGGACGGGGUCAGCACUCCAAGUGUUACUGGGAGGAUAUAAAGUUUGGAAUUUUUAGUGAGGAGAUGGCAAAAUCACCUAGAAGGGCCACAAGGGACAAACAGGAGACCUACUCCACAUCUAGGGCUAUGUGUCUAGUGGACUGUGGGAAAGGGCUACAGGGAAGACCAUGUCCUCAGGUGGGAUCCAGUUUCUGUAGGAGGAAGAAGAUGAAGAGAACAUUCAAAGAAGACAGGUGAAGAUACAGGAGAUUGUGCUGAUGGCUGACCACAGGUCCCAGAGUGACAGCAAAAGGGUUUCAGGAGCCAGGGAGCACUAAGUGAUGGGCUCAUGGAAGGGGACAUGCAAAGCUGUGUAGGGACAAAGGUCCAAGACAUGAGGGAUGUCCUGUGAACCUAGGCUCUGUAGGGACUGGUGUCAACAGUGAUAAAGACACAGCGAGACUGAUCCUGAGGGCCCCCAAGCAGGAACCAGGUGAGCUGUGAGUGUUGAGGGUGAAACAGGGCUCUUUCGAGGAGCACAAAGAAUUCUGGAACAUCCUCUUCACUUCCUCUUAAGGGUCAAAGGGACCCUGAGCUUGAGCACCUCUUCGCUGCAGCCAGUGGAGGGGGAAGGCCUGAAGGGGUGGCCUUCCCCAGAGGGCACUGAGCUCCCUCUUGACUCCUUAAAUCCACAACUAGAAAUGCCUUCAAGUUGGAAUUUCCCUGGAGAAGGCAGCUACUGGAAGGAGGAGCCAAGCUCCAGGGCUCCCACACUGGAAACCUAUCUGAGUCCAAAGGCCGACUCUGUCACUUACGACUCUGCCUCCUGGGGCAAGUCUUUUCACUUCUCUGAGUCUCCACCUCCUCAUCUUCAGGCUUUACUUGUACUAUUGCCUCUGACUAGAUAUCUCCGCUCCGUUUUCCAAGCCAGGGGCAUGGUCAUG